AUUUGAUGAUGUGGACAUUGUAUUUGUAACUCUCCAAACCUUUCCCAAGCUUCAUAAAAUUCUUCAUUAUGUUUUUGUCGAAAAGUUUGAAUUUUAUUUUUUAACUC
rnacentral:snoRNA from 1 species